GACGAACGCUGGCGGCGUGCUUAACACAUGCAAGUCGAACGAUGAAGCUAGAGCUUGCUCUGGUGGAUUAGUGGCGAACGGGUGAGUAACACGUCAGUAACCUGCCCCGAACUCUGGGAUAACUGCUGGAAACGGUAGCUAAUACCGGAUAUGACCAAUGAAGGCAUCUUCUGUUGGUCGAAAGAAUUUCGGUUCGGGAUGGCCUCGCGGCCUAUCAGCUUGUUGGUGAGGUAACGGCUCACCAAGGCGACGACGGGUAGCCGGCCUGAGAGGGUGAUCGGCCACACUGGGACUGAGACACGGCCCAGACUCCUACGGGAGGCAGCAGUGGGGAAUAUUGCACAAUGGGCGCAAGCCUGAUGCAGCAACGCCGCGUGAGGGACGACGGCCUUCGGGUUGUAAACCUCUUUUAGUAGGGAAGAAGCGAAAGUGACGGUACCUGCAGAAAAAGCACCGGCUAACUACGUGCCAGCCGCCGCCGUAA
rnacentral:rRNA from 1 species